GAGUUUGAUCAUGGCUCAGGAUGAACGCUGGCGGCGUGCCUAAUACAUGCAAGUCGAACGAGUUUUGGUCGAUGAACGGUGCUUGCACUGAGAUUCGACUUAAAACGAGUGGCGGACGGGUGAGUAACACGUGGGUAACCUGCCCUUAAGUGGGGGAUAACAUUUGGAAACAGAUGCUAAUACCGCAUAAAUCCAAGAACCGCAUGGUUCUUGGCUGAAAGAUGGCGUCAAGCUAUCGCUUUUGGAUGGACCCGCGGCGUAUUAGCUAGUUGGUGAGGUAACGGCUCACCAAGGCGAUGAUACGUAGCCGAACUGAGAGGUUGAUCGGCCACAUUGGGACUGAGACACGGCCCAAACUCCUACGGGAGGCAGCAGUAGGGAAUCUUCCACAAUGGACGCAAGUCUGAUGGAGCAACGCCGCGUGAGUGAAGAAGGCUUUCGGGUCGUAAAACUCUGUUGUUGGAGAAGAAUGGUCGGCAGAGUAACUGUUGUCGGCGUGACGGUAUCCAACCAGAAAGCCACGGCUAACUACGUGCCAGCAGCCGCGGUAAUACGUAGGUGGCAAGCGUUAUCCGGAUUUAUUGGGCGUAAAGCGAGCGCAGGCGGUUUUUUAAGUCUGAUGUGAAAGCCCUCGGCUUAACCGAGGAAGCGCAUCGGAAACUGGGAAACUUGAGUGCAGAAGAGGACAGUGGAACUCCAUGUGUAGCGGUGAAAUGCGUAGAUAUAUGGAAGAACACCAGUGGCGAAGGCGGCUGUCUGGUCUGUAACUGACGCUGAGGCUCGAAAGCAUGGGUAGCGAACAGGAUUAGAUACCCUGGUAGUCCAUGCCGUAAACGAUGAAUGCUAGGUGUUGGAGGGUUUCCGCCCUUCAGUGCCGCAGCUAACGCAUUAAGCAUUCCGCCUGGGGAGUACGACCGCAAGGUUGAAACUCAAAGGAAUUGACGGGGGCCCGCACAAGCGGUGGAGCAUGUGGUUUAAUUCGAAGCAACGCGAAGAACCUUACCAGGUCUUGACAUCUUUUGAUCACCUGAGAGAUCAGGUUUCCCCUUCGGGGGCAAAAUGACAGGUGGUGCAUGGUUGUCGUCAGCUCGUGUCGUGAGAUGUUGGGUUAAGUCCCGCAACGAGCGCAACCCUUAUGACUAGUUGCCAGCAUUGAGUUGGGCACUCUAGUAAGACUGCCGGUGACAAACCGGAGGAAGGUGGGGAUGACGUCAAAUCAUCAUGCCCCUUAUGACCUGGGCUACACACGUGCUACAAUGGAUGGUACAACGAGUUGCGAGACCGCGAGGUCAAGCUAAUCUCUUAAAGCCAUUCUCAGUUCGGACUGUAGGCUGCAACUCGCCUACACGAAGUCGGAAUCGCUAGUAAUCGCGGAUCAGCACGCCGCGGUGAAUACGUUCCCGGGCCUUGUACACACCGCCCGUCACACCAUGAGAGUUUGUAACACCCGAAGCCGGUGGCGUAACCCUUUUAGGGAGCGAGCCGUCUAAGGUGGGACAAAUGAUUAGGGUGAAGUCGUAACAAGGUAGCCGUAGGAGAACCUGCGGCUGGAUCACCUCCUUA
rnacentral:rRNA from 2 species